CUUGACACUGAACAUUGAGCCUUGAUGUGUAGGAUAGGUGGGAGGCUUAGAAGUGUGGACGCCAGUCUGCAUGGAGCCGACCUUGAAAUACCACCCUUUAAUGUUUGAUGUUCUAACGUUGACCCGUAAUCCGGGUUGCGGACAGUGUCUGGUGGGUAGUUUGACUGGGGCGGUCUCCUCCUAAAGAGUAACGGAGGAGCACGAAGGUUGGCUAAUCCUGGUCGGACAUCAGGAGGUUAGUGCAAUGGCAUAAGC
rnacentral:rRNA from 1 species